GUGGAGAAUCUUGCACAAUGGGCGAAAGCCUGAUGCAGCAACGCCGCGUGAAGGAUGAAGGCCCUUGGGUCGUAAACUUCUGUUCUAAGGGAAGAUAAUGACGGUACCUUAGGAGCAAGUCCCGGCUAACUACGUGCCAGCAGCCGCGGUAAUACGUAGGGGGCAAGCGUUAUCCGGAAUUAUUGGGCGUAAAGAGUACGUAGGUGGUUUCCUAAGCGAGGGGUUUAAGGCAAUGGCUUAACCAUUGUUCGCCCCCCGAACUGGGUAACUUGAGUGCUGGAGGGGAAAGCGGAAUUCCUAGUGUAGCGGUGAAAUGCGUAGAUAUUAGGAGGAACACCAGUGGCGAAGGCGGCUUUCUGGACAGUAACUGACACUGAGGUACGAAAGUGUGGGGAGCAAACAGGAUUAGAUACCCUAGUAGUCC
rnacentral:rRNA from 1 species